UUUUUUUUUUUUUUCAUAAUACUGAAUUUGUUUCACAAAUUCUGACUUUUUUCUAUAUAUAAACUCAGAUGUAAAUUCACAAUUCUGAGAAAAAAAAGGGAGAUGUUAACUAGCGAUUGCAAGAUAUAAUCUCCAAAUUGUGAGAUAUACAUUCAUAAAUGCAAAAAAAAGUUCAGAAUUGUGAGAUAAAGUCACAAUUAACUACUAUUUUUAUUUCAUGACAUUUACUUUUUUCUAAUAAUUCUGACAUUGUUUCUUAAAUUUCUGAUUUAAUAACUGACAGUACAGUGUUUUUUGUAAUUCUGAGUUUAUGUUUCACAAAUUUUGACUUUUUUCUUUAUAUAAACUCAGGUAUAAAUUCAGAAUUCUGAGAAAAAUUGAGAGGUGUUAACUAGUGAAUACAAAAUAUAAACUCACAAUUAACUUUUAUUUUUUUUUCAUGAUGAUUACUUUUUUUCCCCUCAUAAUUCUGACCUUGUUUAUUGAAAUUCUGAUUUAAUAUCUGACAAUUCAGGGUUUUUUUCCCCAUAAUUCUGAAUUUGUCUCAUAAUUCUUACUUCUUUCUAUACAUAAGCUCACUAAAAAGGUAGGAAUUGUCUAAAAAUUGGCUCACAAUUAACUUUUAUUUUUAUUUCAUGACGUUUUAAAAAAAAACAACAGAAUUUAAAGACAUUAAACUCAGUAUUCUGAAAAAAAGGCAGAAUUAUGAGAUAUAAACUCAGAAUUCUGAGAAUAAUUUUAGAUUUUCAGGAUAAUUAACUUUAAGAUAAAUGCGGGAAAAUCGCAGGACAGAAGUUGCAGAAAGAGUCGCAAAUCACUUUUUUUAGUUUUUAUUAUAUGGCAAAAAAAUUCCAAGAUAUGAAUUCAGGAUUUUGAGGAAAAAAAAAAUCUGAAUUUUGAAAUUUUUUUUUUUUUUUUUUUUUUUUUUUUUUAAUUUUGUGGUGGAAAAAAGCUUCCAUACGAGUGAGAGAAAGUGAGAGAGAAUCAGAAAUGUUAACAUGCAUGCGUCCGAGCAUGUUGUCUUACGGUGCGCGUGUGAACGUGUUCGAAUGAGAGUGCGCUCAUACACUUUGAUUUGAUCACUACAUUAUGCACUUGGGUUCGGUGUGGAGGAAAUACUUGUUUUGCACAAUGGACACAUUCAAGUGCACAUGAUUUGAGACUGUUUUAAAUGUGCCAUACAAACAUACAAUAACAACAUGGUGUUACUUUAACAGGAACAAACAUUACCGUAUCAGAGCAAUGAACUUUUCAAAAACUGACAAUCACGGUCAAUGCAUCGAGAAAGGCCUGAUAGUGCAUGAUCCAAAGAGUUUUAUUCAGCCCAGCUGUACUGUAGGUCGUCCUCAAGAAAUCCUCUUCCAUGUCUCUGUUUCAGUUUGUGCUGAUUGAGCCCGCUUAACUGUUGCCUGUGCUCUUCACCCACCAUAGAAAAUAAAUCGUGUGAACUGCCUCAAUGAAACGCUGCGUCGUGAAAGAAAAGGAAAAUAAAACAGUAUAUGUUGUACUUUGGAACAAGUUUAUAUUUUAAAUUGUGUAUAUUUGUGUAAAUUGUACUAUAGAAAAAGUAUAUGCUAACAGAAUCUAUAUUGCUUGUACAGAGAUAGAAAGCUAUCUGCUGAAUGGUGAAUAAAUGUGCUGUUCAUGGAA